UACAGUCCCGACGUCGCCCCUAGUGACUUCCACAUGUUUCCUGCCCUGAAAAAACAUCUAGGAGGAAUGAAAUUUGCGAAUGAUGAAGAGGCGGCGGGAUCAUGGUUCGAGGAGGGGAUACAAAAGUUUGUCGUACGAAUGAAGAAACUCAUCGAAGUGAAUGGCGAUUAUAUAGAAAAAUAGCUUAGAUUUCAAGCUUUACAGCAAUGUAUUAAACUUUGUAAAUACAUGUUAUUUAAUGUGAAAAAAAUAAAUGGAGACCUUACUUUAAAUA